UGCCUAAUACAUGCAAGUCGAGCGAAAAAGGUCUUCGGGCCUUUUUAGUGGCAAACGGGCGAGUAACACAUAUUUAACUUGCUCAUCCGAGGAGAAUAGCAGCCCGAAAGGGCUAUUAAUACGCCAUAGUUUUAAAUUAGUGAAUUAAUUUAAAUUAAAGGAGGCUGCCGAAAGGUGGCCUCGCGGAUGAAUAGGAAUAUGUCCUAUUAGGUCGUUGGAGAGGUAAUGGCUCACCAAGCCGAUGAUGGGUAGCUGGACUGAGAGGUUGAACAGCCGCAAUGGGAUUGAGAAAUGGCCCAUAUUCCUACGGGAAGCAGCAGUGAGGAAUUUUUCACAAUGGACGAAAGUCUGAUGGAGCAAUACCACGUGAACGAUGAAGGUCUUCUGAUUGUAAAGUUCUUUUAUUUAGGAAAAAAAGCGCGGCAGGAAAUGGCCGCGCCUUGAUUGUACUAAUUGAAUAAGUGACAGCUAACUAUGUGCCAGCAGCUGCGGUAAAACAUAGGUCACGAGCAUUAUCCGGAUUUAUUGGGCGUAAAGGAAGCGUAGGCUGAAAUGUGUAUUCAUUGUUAAAAAUAUUUGCUUAACAAGUGUUCGCGGUGAAGAUUACAUUUCUAGAAUUAGUUAGAGGGUACUGGAAUUCAAUGUGUAGUGGUGGAAUACGUAGAUAUAUUGAGGAACACCAGAGGCUAAGGCGAGUGCCUGGAACAUAAUUGACGCUGAGGCUUGAAAGCGUGGGUAGCAAAUGGGAUUAGAUACCCCAGUAGUCCACGCCGUAAACGAUGGGUAUUAGUCAUUUGGAUUUAAGACUGAGUGAUGUAGCUAACGCGUUAAAUACCCCGCCUGGGUAGUAUAUAUGCAAAUAUGAAACUCAAAGAAAUUGACGGGGACCUGAACAAGUGGUGG
rnacentral:rRNA from 1 species